ACCAGUGUGGUGUAGUGGUUUGAACACUGGACUACAACUUUGGAGAUCAGGGUUCAAUUCCCAGCUCGGUCA
rnacentral:tRNA from 1 species